AGGGUGACAGCCCCGUACACAAAAAUGCACAUGCUGUGAGCUCGAUGAGUAGGGCGGGACACGUGGUAUCCUGUCUGAAUAUGGGGGGACCAUCCUCCAAGGCUAAAUACUCCUGACUGACCGAUAGUGAACCAGUACCGUGAGGGAAAGGCGAAAAGAACCCCGGCGAGGGGAGUGAAAAAGAACCUGAAACCGUGUACGUACAAGCAGUGGGAGCACGCUUCGGCGUGUGACUGCGUACCUUUUGUAUAAUGGGUCAGCGACUUAUAUUCUGUAGCAAGGUUAACCGAAUAGGGGAGCCGAAGGGAAACCGAGUCUUAACUGGGCGUUAAGUUGCAGGGUAUAGACCCGAAACCCGGUGAUCUAGCCAUGGGCAGGUUGAAGGUUGGGUAACACUAACUGGAGGACCGAACCGACUAAUGUUGAAAAAUUAGCGGAUGACUUGUGGCUGGGGGUGAAAGGCCAAUCAAACCGGGAGAUAGCUGGUUCUCCCCGAAAGCUAUUUAGGUAGCGCCUCGUGAAUUCAUCUCCGGGGGUAGAGCACUGUUUCGGCAAGGGGGUCAUCCCGACUUACCAACCCGAUGCAAACUGCGAAUACCGGAGAAUGUUAUCACGGGAGACACACGGCGGGUGCUAACGUCCGUCGUGAAGAGGGAAACAACCCAGACCGCCAGCUAAGGUCCCAAAGUCAUGGUUAAGUGGGAAACGAUGUGGGAAGGCCCAGACAGCCAGGAUGUUGGCUUAGAAGCAGCCAUCAUUUAAAGAAAGCGUAAUAGCUCACUGGUCGAGUCGGCCUGCGCGGAAGAUGUAACGGGGCUAAACCAUGCACCGAAGCUGCGGCAGCGACACUAUGUGUUGUUGGGUAGGGGAGCGUUCUGUAAGCCUGUGAAGGUGUACUGUGAGGUAUGCUGGAGGUAUCAGAAGUGCGAAUGCUGACAUAAGUAACGAUAAAGCGGGUGAAAAGCCCGCUCGCCGGAAGACCAAGGGUUCCUGUCCAACGUUAAUCGGGGCAGGGUGAGUCGACCCCUAAGGCGAGGCCGAAAGGCGUAGUCGAUGGGAAACAGGUUAAUAUUCCUGUACUUGGUGUUACUGCGAAGGGGGGACGGAGAAGGCUAUGUUGGCCGGGCGACGGUUGUCCCGGUUUAAGCGUGUAGGCUGGUUUUCCAGGCAAAUCCGGAAAAUCAAGGCUGAGGCGUGAUGACGAGGCACUACGGUGCUGAAGCAACAAAUGCCCUGCUUCCAGGAAAAGCCUCUAAGCAUCAGGUAACAUCAAAUCGUACCCCAAACCGACACAGGUGGUCAGGUAGAGAAUACCAAGGCGCUUGAGAGAACUCGGGUGAAGGAACUAGGCAAAAUGGUGCCGUAACUUCGGGAGAAGGCACGCUGAUAUGUAGGUGAAGCGACUUGCUCGUGGAGCUGAAAUCAGUCGAAGAUACCAGCUGGCUGCAACUGUUUAUUAAAAACACAGCACUGUGCAAACACGAAAGUGGACGUAUACGGUGUGACGCCUGCCCGGUGCCGGAA
rnacentral:rRNA from 1 species